rnacentral:tRNA from 1 species
GGGCAGUUAGCUCAGUCAGUUGAGCGUGGUGCUGAUAACACUUAAGGUCGCGGGUUCAAUUCCCACUCAGUCCC